UACGGAGGGUGCAAGCGUUAUCCGGAUUCACUGGGUUUAAAGGGUGCGUAGGCGGUUCUUUAAGUCAGCGGUGAAAGUCCAGAGCUCAACUCUGGGAUUGCCAUUGAUACUGAGGAACUUGAGUAUAGUUGAGGUAGGCGGAAUUGACAGUGUAGCGGUGAAAUGCAUAGAUAUUGUCAAGAACACCGAUUGCGUAGGCAGCUUACUAAACUAUAACUGACGCUGAGGCACGAAAGUGUGGGGAUCAAACAGG
rnacentral:rRNA from 1 species